rnacentral:rRNA from 1 species
GACGAACGCUGGCGGCGUGCCUAAUACAUGCAAGUCGAGCGAAGUUUUUCUGGUGCUUGCCCUAGAAAAACUUAGCGGCGAACGGGUGAGUAACACGUAAAGAACCUGCCUCAUAGACUGGGACAACUAUUGGAAACGAUAGCUAAUACCGGAUAACAGUAUUUCUCGCAUGAGAGAUAUUUAAAAGUUGGUUAUGCUAACACUAUGAGAUGGCUUUGCGGUGCAUUAGCUAGUUGGUGGGGUAAAGGCCCACCAAGGCGACGAUGCAUAGCCGACCUGAGAGGGUGAUCGGCCACACUGGGACUGAGACACGGCCCAGACUCCUACGGGAGACAGCAGUAGGGAAUCUUCCGCAAUGGGCGAAAGCCUGACGGAGCAACGCCGCGUGAGUGAAGAAGGAUUUCGGUUCGUAAAGCUCUGUUGUUAGGGAAGAAUGGAUAUGUAGUAACUAUACAUGUAAGAGACGGUACCUAACCAGAAAGCCACGGCUAACUACGUG